UGCCAGCCGCCGCGGUAAUACGUGUGGGGCAAGCGUUGUUCGGAAUUACUGGGCUUAAAGGGUUCGUAGGCGGUUUUGUAAGUCAGGGGUGAAAGUCGGUGGCCCAACCAUCGAAUUGCCUUUGAUACUGCAUAACUUGAGUGUGUUAGGGGAGAGCGGAACGUGUAGUGUAGCGGUGAAAUGCGUAGAUAUUACACGGAAGGCCGGAGCCGAAGGGGGCUCUCUGGGACACAACUGACGCUGAGGCACGAAAGCGUGGGGAACAAACAGGAUUAGAUA
rnacentral:rRNA from 1 species